rnacentral:rRNA from 1 species
GAUGAACGCUGGCGGCGUGCCUAAUACAUGCAAGUCGAGCGAACAGACGAGGAGCUUGCUCCUCUGACGUUAGCGGCGGACGGGUGAGUAACACGUGGAUAACCUACCUAUAAGACUGGGAUAACUUCGGGAAACCGGAGCUAAUACCGGAUAAUAUAUUGAACCGCAUGGUUCAAUAGUGAAAGACGGUUUUGCUGUCACUUAUAGAUGGAUCCGCGCCGCAUUAGCUAGUUGGUAAGGUAACGGCUUACCAAGGCAACGAUGCGUAGCCGACCUGAGAGGGUGAUCGGCCACACUGGAACUGAGACACGGUCCGGACUCCUACGGGAGGCAGCAGUAGGGAAUCGUCCGCAAUGGGCGAAAGCUUGACGGAGCAACGCCGCGUGAGUGAUGAAGGUCUUCGGAUCGUAAAACUCUGUUAUUAGGGAAGAACAAAUGUGUAAGUAACUAUGCACGUCUUGACGGUACCUAAUCAGAAAGCCACGGCUAACUACGUG